rnacentral:rRNA from 1 species
GACGAACGCUGGCGGCAUGCCUAAUACAUGCAAGUCGAGCGAACAGAUGAAGUGCUUGCACUUCUGACGUUAGCGGCGAACGGGUGAGUAACACGUAAGGAAUCUACCUAUAAGCGGGGGAUAACAUUCGGAAACGGGUGCUAAUACCGCAUAAUAUCUUCUUCCGCAUGGAAGAAGAUUGAAAGACGGCUCUGCUGUCACUUAUAGAUGACCUUGCGGUGCAUUAGUUAGUUGGUGGGGUAAUGGCCUACCAAGACGAUGAUGCAUAGCCGACCUGAGAGGGUGAUCGGCCACAUUGGGACUGAGACACGGCCCAAACUCCUACGGGAGGCAGCAGUAGGGAAUCUUCCGCAAUGGGCGAAAGCCUGACGGAGCAAUGCCGCGUGAGUGAAGAAGGCCUUCGGGUCGUAAAACGCUGUUAUAAGAGAAGAACAAAUUGUAGAGUAACUGCUACAGUCAUGACGGUAUCUUAUCAGAAAGCCACGGCUAACUACGUGCCAGCCGCCGCCGGUAA